UACGGAGGGUGCAAGCGUUAUCCGGAUUUAUUGGGUUUAAAGGGUGCGCAGGCGGAAGAGUAAGUCAGUGGUGAAAGGUUGCCGCUUAACGGUAAGAUUGCCAUUGAUACUGCUUUUCUUGAGUAUGGUUGAGGUAGACGGAAUGUGUAGUGUAGCGGUGAAAUGCAUAGAUAUUACACAGAACACCAAUUGCGAAGGCA
rnacentral:rRNA from 1 species